rnacentral:rRNA from 1 species
GACGAACGCUGGCGGCAGGCUUAACACAUGCAAGUCGAACGCACCUUUCGGGGUGAGUGGCAGACGGGUGAGUAACGCGGGGGAAUCUACCCUUCUCUACGGGAUAGCUCCGGGAAACUGGAAUUAAUACCGUAUACGUCCUGAGGGAGAAAGAUUUAUCGGGGCAGGGUGAGCGCGCGUUGGAUUAGCUAGUUGGUGGGGUAAAGGCCUACCAAGGCGACGAUCCAUAGCUGGUCUAAGAGGAGGAUCAGCUACAUUGGGACUGAGACACGGCCCAAACUCGGACGCGAGGCAGCAGUGGGGAGUAUUGGAGGAUGGGCGCAAGCGUGAUACAGCCAUGCGGCGUGAGUGAUGAAGGGCCUAGGGUUGUAAAGCUCUCUCAGUGGGGACGAGAAUGACGGUACCCACAGAAGAAGCCCCGGCUAACUUCGUG